GGGUUAUCCAGUCACUGGAGCUGCUACUAGGAAAAUCAGUAAAGCAGGAGGAAAUAAGGAAAGUUUUGUGUUGAAAAGAGUGGCAGGAGGAAAAAAAAAAACAAAACUGAAGAGGAGACAUUCUGGAAUAUGAAACUGUUCUCUCAAUUUCCAGGAAGAGAUUGAGACAGCAGAUUGAAGAAAGCACUCAGGUGUUCUGGGCCAAGCAGCGUCAACA
rnacentral:lncRNA from 1 species